UUUAGGAAGUGAUAAAAAAAUUUAUUUUAAAUAAAACUAAUAAUUUAUAAUAAUUAUAUGAGUAAGUAUGCGGAAUUACCGUUCCCAAUUGACACAUUAGUUUAUAAUUUGGUGCGAGGUUACAAGAAUUUGAGCGUGGUAACUAUAGCAGGUCACUUCGGUUGCCAGGCCAUGAAGGAGGAUGAGCCAAUAUCAUUCAGGUAUGGAAGCGGGUAGUGAAUAUCAUUACUGUACUAUACAUAGACAACUAUACUGCAUAUAAGCUAUUCUGCAAUUUGAUAAUUCAGCCACAAUUAUUCCACUUCCAUCCUCGAAAUACCAUUCUAGACAAAAGCUUUACCCUCAAUUUUUUUCUAGCCUGUCACAAGAACGAUAUCGAUCGGUAUAUCCUAGCACGAUCAUCGCUCGGGUUGUAUCAAAUCUUAUUACGAUAUACAAGGCCAUGAAAAAGUAACCCAACUUUAGCGUGCUAUUGUGCGUUCAAUAUUGCAUGACUGUAUAGAUUUAUUUUUUCAUAAUAACGAUCACUAGGAAAAAAAUAGUGAACUACAUACUAUGGAAUUUGCAAUUGCAUCACUAAAUUCAUAGUAUAUUCACAGUAUGGAAAUUGCAAUUAGC